rnacentral:rRNA from 1 species
AGAUUGAACGCUAGCGGGAUGCUUUACACAUGCAAGUCGAACGGCAGCGCGGACUUCGGUCUGGCGGCGAGUGGCGAACGGGUGAGUAAUAUAUCGGAACGUGCCCAGUAGCGGGGGAUAACUACGCGAAAGCGUGGCUAAUACCGCAUACGCCCUACGGGGGAAAGGGGGGAUUCUUCGGAACCUCUCACUAUUGGAGCGGCCGAUAUCAGAUUAGCUAGUUGGUGAGGUAAAGGCUCACCAAGGCGACGAUCUGUAGCUGGUUUGAGAGGACGACCAGCCACACUGGGACUGAGACACGGCCCAGACUCCGUACGGGAGGCAGCAGUGGGAAUUUGGACAAGUGGGGGAAACCCUGAUCCAGCCAGUCCCGCGUGUGCGAUGGAAGGCCUUCGGGUUGUAA